AUCCCUUGUGGUCUUUGAUUAGUACUUAAAAGUGUAUUUUUAUCAAGGUUUUAUAUCAUCAUUUUGCACUUGAAGUAUCAAUAACUCCUCAACUAGAGCAUGUUUUAUAAUAACAUGUCUAAUAAUAUAAGAUACCUUUAAUUUAUGGUAAAUGUUCAUCUUAAAUGCAGGCCUAUCACAUAAAUCAAAGGAUUGAUUGAUGAGUUUAACUACUGAAAUUGAGAAGACAAAGAGAGGGCUAAGCUUAGAAAAGAGAUGUUGGUUCAGUCCAAACUGGAACACCAUUCGGUUAUUGGAUCAUAACUGGAGCUGUAGAAUUUGGAUUUAGGUCUGGUUUAUAUAUAUGGAAAGCUAAGACAUAGGCCUAAAACUUUCAUGAAGAGUCCAAGAUUCAAAAGGACUGUAUGCAAGUUCAAAUUGUAGCAACAACAGAGAAGUCAGAAUUUGUCCUACAACCCAAACAUUGUUCAGUGUUCAGCCCAUAUCUCGAGUUCUAGAAGUUCAAAUGACCUCAUUCUUGUUUUGUUGGAAAGCUGAGACAAUUUCCCAUAAAUUUCAUGAAUACUAUCUGUUCAAAUUCUGAUGUUAGCAAUGAUGGUGUCUGCAGACAAGAAGAUAAGGAGUGUUAUUAAGUCAAGAGGUGGCCACUCACUCAACAAUUAGUUAUCAAAUCAAUAGUUCUGAAUUUUGGCCUAUAAAUGAGGCAUUUGUCAUGCAUUUAGGCAUCUUAGUUUUCAGAUCAAGAUCAUUUUAUUGCUUUCUCUCUUUGUAAUGUUCAAGUUUUAUUUAAUGUUAUAGUAGUUUCUUGUU
rnacentral:lncRNA from 1 species